AACGUAGGGGACAAGCGUUAUCCGGAUUUACUGGGCGUAAAGCGCCCGUAGGCGGCCUACUAAGUCAGACGUGAAAUCCCCCGGCUUAACCUGGGAACUGCGUCUGAUACUGGAAGGCUUGAGGAUGGGAGAGGGAUGUAGAAUUCCAGGUGUAGCGGUGAAAUGCGUAGAUAUCUGGAGGAAUACCGGUGGCGAAGGCGGCAUCCUGGACCAUUACUGACGCUGAGGCGCGAAAGCUAGGGGAGCAAACGGG
rnacentral:rRNA from 1 species